rnacentral:rRNA from 1 species
UGGGGAAUAUUGCACAAUGGGCGCAAGCCUGAUGCAGCCAUGCCGCGUGUAUGAAGAAGGCCUUCGGGUUGUAAAGUACUUUCAGCGAGGAGGAAGGCGUUGUGGUUAAUAACCGCAACGAUUGACGUUACUCGCAGAAGAAGCACCGGCUAACUCCGUGCCAGCAGCCGCGGUAAUACGGAGGGCGCAAGCGUUAAUCGGAAUUACUGGGCGUAAAGCGCAAGCAGGCGGUCUGUCAAGUCGGAUGUGAAAUCCCCGGGCUCAACCUGGGAACUGCAUCCGAAACUGGCAGGCUAGAGUCUUGUAGAGGGGGGUAGAAUUCCAGGUGUAGCGGUGAAAUGCGUAGAGAUCUGGAGGAAUACCGGUGGCGAAGGCGGCCCCCUGGACAAAGACUGACGCUCAGGUGCGAAAGCGUGGGGAGCAAACA